rnacentral:lncRNA from 1 species
GGUGUAACGGUCGAACUCAGUAGCACUAAUAACCGGAUUUAAAUAUUCUGGACCGGUGAUUUUAGUUCUAAUGUGUAUGUUACAAAUAAGCACGUUAGUCUAAUUACAUACAUAGCCGAAGAUUAUCAAACGAUGUGAAUAUUAGCUCACACUUCUGACCAGUGACCAACUCUGAUACCAACUAUAAUGACUCGCCUAUUAACAUUAAUAAUUCGUUAGGCACAAAAUACUUAAAACUUAGUUAUUAGUUUUUGUGUGCCUUUCAUAUGUAAGGACUCAUACUCUUCUAUGCUAUCUGAUAUGAAACUAUUGAGGUACAUAAUAGACACAUGAAAUGCUUGAAAGAUACUACAUGUACACCCUAUGUAUAAAGUGUAAAUAUUACACCCACCCUUAAAAAAAUUAAUUUUUUCUGAAUAUGUAGUAUAAAAAAAGAAGGUUGACGAGAUUAGUGAGUAGAUAAUAGUCUUUGGAUAGUUAGGAUGUAAAAUUUAUACCAUAAUUAUAGGUGUACAUACAGCAUUGCUCAAAAUUCUAAAAAUGUUAUCAAUUUUAUCACCUAAUUAGUUGCGAAACAUGUAUUUUGUUCGAUUGGAAAGUUCAAGGGCGCGCAAUUCACAAUAUCAUGACAACACAGGGAGUAAUGUAGAAACCCUCACAUUAUAUACAAUUCUAUAUAUAUUUAAUAUGACAGUUAUUUUUUGAAAGACACGUAAAAUUGAUAAAACUUAAACUAAGUAGUAUAAACCUUUCAUAUAAUUAUUUAUUCUAAGUCAAAACUCUUGUAGAAAAUAUCCCCUGAAGAGUUGCCAUCUUUAAACAUUAGCUUAUCCUACAUAUCCUAGCUAUGAAUAGUACAACAUGGUUACAAAAAGGAAAACAUACCAAAGUGACCCAUUACCAUCUCCAAAGGCUUAUCAAUUUCAUUGGUCUCACAUGUGUUGUCACAACACAAUCAAUGGAUUAGAAAUGACAUGCACAACAGUUAAAUCAGGUUUAAUAUAAAAUUAAUUGACCCUAUCUUAGCUAUAGAGAGAGAGAGAAAGAGUCCAGCUAUGUUACUUUUAAAAACACAAAGUACUAAGUACUUGUAAGUUUUUCGCCGUUAGAUUUAUCCUUUCGACCGUUUUCAACUGUUGGAUCAUACUAUUCAACCAACCACCUACUCAACCUUAGCGGACCAUUAUCAUCAUAACCAUAUAUCUUUUAAUCUAAGGAAUGAAAACCUACAAGCACCAAUAACUUGGUACUUUUAAAAGCAUAGGAGCUCAAUGACAAGUGCAAUGAUCCAAUUCUAUUCUAUUACAACAUAUAUGCCC